UAGUGGCGAACGGGUGCGUAACACGUGAGCAACCUACCCCGGAGACUGGGAUAACAGCGGGAAACUGCUGCUAAUACCGGAUGACCCCGCGGUCUCGCAUGGGACUGUGAGGAAAUGGAUUCCGCUCCGGGAGGGGCUCGCGGCCUAUCAGCUUGUUGGUGGGGUAACGGCCUACCAAGGCGACGACGGGUAGCUGGUCUGAGAGGACGAUCAGCCACACUGGGACUGAGACACGGCCCAGACUCCUACGGGAGGCAGCAGUAGGGAAUCUUGCGCAAUGGGCGAAAGCCUGACGCAGCAAUGCCGCGUGGGGGAUGAAGGCCUUCGGGUUGUAAACUCCUUUUAGUGGGAACGAAAUUGACGGUACCCACAGAAAAAGCCCCGGCUAACUACGUGCCAGCAGCCGCGGUGAUACGUAGGGGGCGAGCGUUGUCCGGAUUCACUGGGCGUAAAGAGCUCGUAGGUGGUUUGGUUAGUCGGGUGUGAAACCUCCAGGCUCAACCUGGAGUCGCCACCCGAUACUGCCAUGGCUAGAGUCCGGUAGGGGACCAUGGAAUUCCUGGUGUAGCGGUGAAAUGCGCAGAUAUCAGGAGGAACACCAGUAGCGAAGGCGGUGGUCUGGGCCGGUAC
rnacentral:rRNA from 1 species